CUAACGCGAACCAAGUUCGACGUGUUGCCUCUCUGACGCACUUGUAAAUUCGUAUGUAAGUGUGACAGGGAGGCAACACUUCGCGGUAGGCCCUCUGAUCGGCUCGCUGGUUGUGCGACCUUCAUGUCAUGUUUAAAUGGUUGUUGUGGAAAUAAAAAUGUUUUUGUAACGAUUUGUUGCGUUGAGUUGAGCCCCUACUUAUUGUGAAAAUAGAGUUAGAAAUGUGACGUUUCAAACAAAAGUAACCACUUUUUUGAGGUUAUCUUUUGAAACCUGUUUUUUUUGGGAGUUCAAUUGGGCAUGGGUCGAUAUAUCGUACCGAUAAAGACCACUGGAAUAAAAUAUGAUAGUUUAAGGCAAUAAUUAGAUUAAAGGCACUUAACAAUUAUUAUAAUAUGCAUAACUUAGACCAAAUUAUUACUUUUACGUGCUUUAUCGUAGUUUUAAUUACAAUCUAAGCCAAAUAUUGAUUUUAUUGUUAUCGUAAGUUAGGUUAGACGCUGUUUACGUAAAAGUAUUAGGAGACGGAGUCGCGCCAAGUAUUUAUUUAGUUUGCUCCGACACGACAGUAAAUAUUUAUACAGUUUUGAACCUUACGUCUUUGUAAUUAAGGUGUAUAAAUAUUUAUGAUCGUGACUGUAUACCCGAAACUAGCGCUAGCGAAUAUCUGCCGACAUUUCUAUUUGAAAAUAAAUAGCAUUCGACAUAUAGUACGCAUAAUAGUUGUAUAAGAGAGAUGUAAUUUUUUCUAGAACUAUUUUCUAAAGGCAAUUGUAGAAUACUUUUGUAUUUUUUCAAGAAAAUUAGCAAAGCAAUAUAUUUGAUACAAAUUAUUUGAAAAAUCUAGCCAGAUGUAGUGAAAUAUAUAUGUAAAUCAGAAAAUAUAAAUUUGUUUACAUACACCUGAAA